rnacentral:rRNA from 1 species
CUGAAGACCUCACCCGAUUAGCUGAGAGGUGGUGCAUGGCCGUCGUCAGUUCGUACUGUGAAGCAUCCUGUUAAGUCAGGCACGAGCGAGACCCACGUCCACAGUUGCCAGCAUACCCUCCGGGGUGAUGGGUACACUGUGGAGACCGCCGCUGCUAAAGCGGAGGAAGGAGUGGGCAACGGUAGGUCAGUAUGCCCCGAAUCUCCCGGGCUACACGCGGGCUACAAUGGUUGGUACAAUGGGCAUCUACCCCGAAAGGGGAAGGAAAUCUCUUAAAGCCAAUCGUAGUUCGGAUUGAGGGCUGCAACUCGCCCUCAUGAAGCUGGAAUCCGUAGUAAUCGCGUUUCAACAGAACGCGGUGAAUACGUCCCUGCUCCUU